CAGCUGGUUAUCUCUAUAUCUAACAAGAAAUGUUUACACGUUAAAAACUUUAAAUAAGAUAUAUUUACAUGCUGGUCUUAUUCAAGUCACGUCGUAAUCACAUUUUAGUUAAACAUCAUGAAAGUCGCUGUAUUCGCCGUCCUCAUCUGUGCUAUGGUUGCUGUAAAUGGAGCACCAAGCAAACGAUUUCUCGAAAAUUUCGGACUUGGUGGCUUAAAUAAUUGCCCAUUUCCCGCGAUGUGUUUCAUUGAUCCAUGUAUGGUAGCUACAUGUGCCGGUAAUCCUGAUGCUACCUGCAGACAAGGCUGUGCUUGCUCUGCUGUAUGGACUGAUAUUUCUGGUAAAACGAUCACCUGUUAAAACACCUGUUAUACGUCUUGUAUCGAUAACUAAUAACAUUUUAAAAUAUUAUAUAUUUGUGUAUGAAAUAAAACCAAAUGAUACAUUAA